rnacentral:rRNA from 1 species
UACGAAGGGGGCUAGCGUUGCUCGGAAUGACUGGGCGUAAAGGGCGCGUAGGCGGAUUGCUUUGUCAGACGUGAAAUUCCAGGGCUCAACCUUGGGGCUGCGUUUGAGACGGGUGAUCUUGAGUUCGGAAGAGGGUCGUGGAAUUCCCAGUGUAGAGGUGAAAUUCGUAGAUAUUGGGAAGAACACCGGUGGCGAAGGCGGCGACCUGGUCCGAGACUGACGCUGAGGCGCGAAAGCAUGGGGAGCGAACAGG